rnacentral:tRNA from 8 species
GGAGAGGUGGCAGAGCGGUUGAAUGUACCUGACUCGAAAUCAGGCGUGCGUUUAUAGCGCACCGAGGGUUCGAAUCCCUCCCUCUCCGCCA